CCAUCUCCCUUCUUCAGCCCAAUUUCACAGAAUUUUUUUUUUUUUUUUUUGCUCGCUGCCGGCGCCGAGAGAAUGCGAGGAGCCACGAUGGGAGACAAUCAUCUAUGCAAAAAAUCGACAGCAAAAAUGGCAGUGAUUCAGUUGCCUCACACAAAUUCAACAACAAUUUAUUUCCCAAUCAACUCAUCAAAAGGAAAAGAAAAAAGAGGAAAGCCGACAACAACAAUAUAUAAAAAGGAGAGAAAGAAUCGAUAGCCUAGUUAAUAGCCAACUCCCCCUUUGCCGGUAGCGAUCUCGUUCCUUCUAUACCAAGCAUAUUAUGCAACACACAAUUCAUCAAUUUCACAUAAUUGCAUUAAAUUAACGUGUGAAAAUGGCAACUUUGGGGCCCAAAUUGGAUCCGAAGCUUCCUAUGUCGGCGGUAAGGGACAGGAAAGGUCCAGAAGGCAUUGAUUCUAGUUGGGCUGCAGUGGUACGGGCCAUAUGGUGCAGAUGGAUUUUGCA
rnacentral:lncRNA from 1 species